rnacentral:snRNA from 1 species
AAAAUUAAAUAAACUUAACCGAA